UCAGUCAAGUGUUUUCAGCGCUGGUGUGU
rnacentral:piRNA from 1 species